rnacentral:rRNA from 1 species
GACGAACGCUGGCGGCGUGCUUAACACAUGCAAGUCGAGCGGUAAGGCCCUUCGGGUACGACGAGCGGCGAACGGGUGAGUAACACGUGGGUGACCUGCCUCUAGCUCUGGGAUAAGCCUGGGAAACUGGGUCGUAAUACCGGAUAUGACUCCACGGCGCAUGUUGUGGGGUGGAAAGCCUUGUGUGGCUAGAGAUGGGCCCGCGGCCUAUCAGCUUGUUGGUGGGGUGAUGGCCUACCAAGGCGACGACGGGUAGCCGGCCUGAGAGGGCGACCGGCCACACUGGGACUGAGACACGGCCCAGACUCCUACGGGAGGCAGCAGUGGGGAAUCUUGCGCAAUGGGCGAAAGCCUGACGCAGCGACGCCGCGUGAGGGAUGACGGCCUGGU